rnacentral:lncRNA from 1 species
GCAGAUGUGUGACAGUCAUGACAAAGCUGGACAAACUCCUACAGCAGCGCGAUAUGUUGGUGUUAUUGAAGGGAGUAACGAUGAUCAGAUUGAGAGGAAAGCAGUUGGACAAACUCCUAUGGCUAAAGGUGUUGGGCAUGUACUUGAUACUUCAAAGAAAACAGCUACAAAUGCAAGGACUGGACAUGUUUGUGAUACUUUGGGCAAAUGUGUUACAACUAAAGAUUAUGUGGUUGCUGGUGUUACUACAUGUUCUGUUGCUGGACAAAAAUCUACAAAAGUUGGGACAGUUAUAUCAAUAUUACUAAUUUCAUUAGGAGCAAUAUACAUUCUGAGAGACUUCCUAGGCUUGGCACUUAUAUAAUAGAAAUUUGGUACUACUGCUUGGAAGCAUAUAGUUAUCGCUAAAGAGCUCCAAUUGGCAUGAUUGUUGAAAAGAGCCGUAUAAUAUUAGUGGUUAAACAAUAUAAAAUGCAUCUAAAGCUUCCAAGUUCUCUUUCAGUAGCUUUUCGAGCACCUUCAAUGGGAAUUUUACAAUGAAAGUUUUUUCAAAAGGGAAAUUGAACGUCUGAAAUCCAGCUUGGUGCUUUGACAACUUAGACAUACAAAUUGCACAACUUCUUGUAAUUUUCUACUGAAAGAACGAAAGGUACUUGUGCAUUCCACAAAUUGGAAUUCCCAAACUACUAGUUCCAAGACAUGGGGAUAAGAAGGGUAGAGGAUUGGUGGGAGAAAACAUUUUUUAAGAUGCAAAGUUAUACUACCAAAAUGGAGAGUUUACUGUAUUUUGCUUAUUUAGAUACUUUAUGAUUCUCUUUAUCUAUUUUCUGCGGGAGUCACUAAUGCUUUUUGUUUUUGUUUUGUUUUAUAGCUGUUUUUCCUUUUGUCCUAUGCGCCGAGGGUCGAUUGGAAACAGCCUCCCUGCCCUUUCGGGUAGGGGUAAGGCUUGUCUACAUAUUACCUUAGAUACUUUAUGAUUCUCUUUAUCUAGCUUGUAUCACAUACUUUGGUAUCUUCUUGGGUUUCUAUAUCUCUCCCUCUGGAUAGUUACUGCCUUUUUGCCUUUCAAUUUUGGUUUAAAAUAUCCAUUUGCAUUUGCUUAUAAAGUAAGUAACCUCGGGAAUGUGCAUGGCGGUUCAAGCAUUUUUACCUUCUGAAUCUCAGGGGCUCCUAAGUAUUAUGGCAGGAUUUAUUCUCAUAUCUCCAGUAAUAACCUCGUUUACAUAGUAUUGUCUACUUGUAUCUACAUUCGUACUCAUAUGUUCGUCUUUCCUUGUAUACUUGUAUUUGCUUUUGUCUACCUAUAUGAAGUAGCUUUUCGAACAUCGUCAAAAUUCCCUGAAUGCUUACUUCCAUAUGACUUCAGAAAAGAUUUCUGAAGUAUGGUGGAGAAUUUGAAAUGCUUUUAUAGUAAAAGCUACAAUCAUUCUUUGAUUAUUCAGAUGUGAAGUGAUCUUAAGGCACAAAUGUUGAUUUAACAUGCCCUGCAAUAUGAAGGAUACUCUAUCUACUUUUGUUGAAAACCUAGCAAUUCUAAGAUGGAAUAUUGAAGGAUACUCUAUCUACUUCUAGCCGAUUGAUCACAACUUCGUUAUUUCUAGCUGCUAAGUUAUAAGCACAAAAUAAUGCAGCUGUUACUGCUUAAGUUGGUGCGCAAACUAGUGACAUAUGGACAGUAGUGAUGAGGUCUCCUACUAAGCGAAAUACUGCUCCAGGUGUGAAGAAUCAACAGCAGAAUAUGAGUGUUCCAACUGCUCGACAAAUCACGUCAAAGGCUAUCACAAGUCCAAAUAGUUUUGAAGCACUAGCCGAAGAGGUGAACUUUGGUGUUAACUCUCUAAUAGUCAAGGAUACUGGAUUGAUGCAGCAAAUUGCACCAUGUAUUAGUACUAGCUAACAUGAUCAGUCAAGUGAAAAUCUUUCUAAGAAGUUGGGUGUUCGACAAAUUGCCUCGGAGAAUAAUUUAAUUGAGAAUGUGGGGAUGAUCAAAUAGUGAGAUAUAGCACUCCUGGGUUGCAUUUUUCCAGCCCAGAAGUUGAAAGAAUUAUCAAAGAAACUCAGAUUUCCAUGAUGAUGAAAGCUAACCCUACGAUCAACCAACAUGUUCUGUGUAUACUCGUUUAUCUCGUUCUUCUAUUCUAUCUAUUCUCAGUUAUUCGAUACUACAAUCUUUUUUUCAAAUUUCACUUUGAAUAGAUACUUUUAGUGUUUAAAUAUAAGUAAAAGAUUAUUCUGAUCCUUUCAGACCUUCACAUGGAAAAACUAACCAGUUGAAAAAUAUUUUUCGAACCUUUUAGCCGCUAAAACUCCUCUUUGUAAUAAGGUAAAAAUCAAUAAUGAGCCUAAUAAUGCACUAAAUCACCAACUAACAAUAGAGUAAAAACAGUAUAUAUAUCAUAAUCAGGCAAAAAGUUUGAACAUGGUUGAAUUCAUAGUUCGACUACUGGCAUUCAACUAAAACAUCAAUACGCAUCAACGACACUCAGAAAUUUUUUGAAAAAUCACAAAAAUAACAGUAGCCUUAGAAAACAGAGGAACCAAUUCAAUAACAAUAGAGUAACAGAUGAGGAAUCAAUUCAAUCAAUCGACUACCAAUCUAACAACAACCAGAUAUCACAAACGACUUAGUAAACACAGAAAAAGCUAUAAUUUCACUAAUCCCAAAAGGCCAUAGUUCGAUGACAAAAAUCAAAAUUAAAGAUUGUUACCUGAUAAGCAAAGUUUUUUGCCGAUUAAGACAGGAAAUUGAAGGAAACGAAUGCUUUAUGCAAUAAUUCUUGAAACCUACACGAAAACAAAAGUUGUAGACGAAUGAGAAGGAGAAGAUUGACAACGAAGAUUAAAAAUAAUCGAGCAGCAUCAACCCAAAUUUAUAUGUAAUGGAUUGAGAACGACCUGCGAUGGCCGGAGACGAGGGAGGCUUUUGCAGCGAUAGUGUUAACGCGUACGUUUUCCUAGCGUCGUUCUUCGUUCUAAUUACAGGGUUUUUCCUAGUAUUGUUUUUCUAAUCGUAGGGUUUUCUAAUAGGAGGGAAUGUAAUUUUUUGUCCCAAAAAAUUUGGAGGGAAGAUUUAUU